rnacentral:rRNA from 1 species
AUGGUUGAUAACGGUGUUCGACCAGAUAACCUGACAUAUACUGCAGUGAUCCAUGGAUAUUCCACUUUGGGCCAGUGGAAAAAGGCAACUAAAAUGUUCAGAGAAAUGACAAGCCGCGGUCUUGUACCAAAUACUGUCACUUGGAACUCAUUCAUGGCCUCCCUAUGUAAGCAUGGAAGAAGCAAAGAAGCUGCAAAAUUUUUGCAUUCCAUGGCUGCGAAGGGCCACAAGCCUGAUGUUGUCUCGUAUCGUGUUCUGCUCCAAGGGUAUGCUACAGAAGGGUGCUUUGCAGAUAUGGUUGAUCUCUAUAAUUCAAUGGCAAGCAAUGGUAUUGUACCCAAUUGCCAGGUUUUCAACAUAUUAGUUGAUGCAUAUGCUAAGCGUGGAAUGAUGGAUGAAGCUAUGCUUAUAUUUACUGAAAUGCGGGGACAAGGACUGAGUCCAGAUGUAUGA